CCCUAGAGCCAGGAGGGACACGGACGCUGCUGGCCCUGGUGGCUCAGGUGCCGUUAGAGGGGCCUCUCCCGGCCUGUGGCUCCCUGCGGCCCCGCUCUGCUCGCCUCCUGUGCUCUGCGCCUGCUCUGCCCUGGGUCCAGCGAGCCUGCCGCCCCCUGGCUGGCGAUCCCAGUGGCCUGAGAGCGGGCAGGGUGUCGCCAGCUCCGGGUGUUUCCCUCGUGUGCGAGGAAACAUAUCCAGGACAAAGUGGACAAAGUGGGUCGCAGGAAGAAAGAGUGACAGGCCAGGGGGCCCUCUGGUAACAGGUGCAGGAGCAGGGAUUCCACGUCUUCCUUCCAUCCUGGUCCCUUUCCAUUCCGCCUCACCAUAGCGGAAAGGGUGGGGGGGUCUUCCCGGGGACCCCACCCUGGGUCAGUGGCAGGAGGAUGCGCCCACUGGGCUGGUGGCAGAGAUUCGGAAAUCCUGGGCAGGAAUGUAGCGCCUGAAUCUCCCUUUCGAGAGUCUAUUUCUUUUCUUUCCACAGCUUCUUCUACCCCGCCGCCCCCCCCCCACUAGGGAACUGAACCCAGGGCCUUUGCACGGGGCUGCAGCCCCAGGCUUUUUUGUGUCUUCAUUUUGAGAUGGGAGGGGUCUUACCAAGUCACCCAGGCUGGGAUCAAAUUUGUGAUCUUCCUGUCUCAGUCUCCCAGCGUGCUGGAAUCAUAGGUGUGGGCCAGCCACCACGUGUGGAUUAGUUUCCUUUUUAUUAAACAAAUAUUUGUUCUGCUCUAGUGUUCUCUGGAGACUGACUGUCCUUGGGGAAACCCCAGGACUCAGGAUGUGAGGUUCAGACUAAGGCUACUGGGCCCGAGGCAUCACCCGGAAGGGGGCAGUGGGAACCGGGCGCACGGGGGAGCUGAGAAGCCCCAGGGGCAGCGCCAGGCACCCCAGAGCCCAUUGCUCCCCGCCCCACUUAGCCGUGACGUCCCCUUAACCGUCAGCCCCACCCUCUUACCAGGCCUUGUAGUCAGGUAGUUUCCCCUGCUCAACAAAUCAUGGGCGCCACGGGCUGGAACGAGCCCUGAGCUAGGUCCCAACCAAAAUGGAGUCACUCGUGCUAAGUAAGCUCCCGGGCACCAAGCGAGGCCCAGGAGGUCCACAUGUGGAGAAGUCAGGAGCUCAGUGGCAGCCAGAUCCCAGGAAGGGCAGCGGCUUGGAACCGCCUUUUGCUCCCGCCGGCUGCUCCUCAGCCCUUUGCAACUGUGAAGCCGCGCUCUCAGCGGGUCUCGGGCUGUUGCAUACACUGGAUGCUGCCUGGUUCUUGCACUGCUACUGAAAGCGAAUGAGGUCUGUAAAGCCCAACUUGUUAACAUUUUAUUCUUUGAUGCUUUCCGCACUUUAUGACUGACAGCUGAUGUCACGUAUCCAUUAAUUAAACAGCCAAAUGCAUAUUUCUCGGGCCUACUGUGUAUCCAGUACCCAGCUGAGUCCUGGGGGACGGAGGGGGAGAAUCAGGAAAACAAAGGCAGGAACUCCCCGCCCCCGGGAUUGAACCGGGGUCCUUGGCACCAAGCUACAUCUCCAGCCCUUGUUUUAGUUUCCCCGCGGGAUCCUGAGAUCAGCAGCACGGGACGACGGCGCCCCCUGGCGGCAGGUCGGAUCUCCGUAUGCUCUAGGCCUGGCCGGGCAGGCGGGCGGCGUGGGCCUCGCAGCGACGUGUUGGAAGGAACGCUGCUUCCAGGGUCAGGAGCCUGGGCGGGAAGCGCUAAGAUUGGUAGCUGUCAUCCCAGUACUCAGGAGGCCAAGGCAGGAGGAUGGAUGCAAAUUUAAGGCCAGUGCUAUGUAGCAGGUUCAAGGCCAGCCUGAACGACACAGCGAGACCCUGUUUCAAAACAAAAGCAAAAACAGAAACAGAUUUGGGACUGGCAGUUCCCAAGCCCUGGCCCUUCCUGUAGGAGGGGCUGGAGGAGGCUGGGAGGCUGGCGCAGGUGACCUGCUCCCCUGGGUCCUGCCUGUUCCUGCAGCAGAAGCGGUUCACAGGAUUCCCACACCGGAAGAGCCAACUUCAUCACCCCUACCUAGAAAGUUUGGUGGCUGCCACAUCCCAAGGGAGAAGGCCAGGGAGGAGAAAGUGACAGUGGCAGCCCCUCUAGCACACAGCUCCCAUGCCUAUGACCCUGCGGUCUGCACCUCUUCUGGCCUGACUUGCCGCCCCCCACCCCCACCCCAUGACCCCAGGAGGAGGCCUGGGGCCUGGCCCAGUGUGAGCAGGGCUGGGCCAGCUGGGCAGACAGAGGAGAGGAACUCAGGUUGGAGACACCAGGCCUGGAGAGACCUUCUGUUGCCCACUCGUGUCUCCCCACUGAUUAAACCUCUUCUCGGAGUGUUCAGGGGAACCCAAGAAAGGGAAGGAAAGACAAGGGGCCCAGCCCUGGCUGAGGACCGCCAUGCGGCAGGACAGCACGGGGACCCUGCAGGUCCGUGUGCCCUCAGGGCCCGCUUGGCCGCUCCUGUGGGCUCUCGGGUGGGAGCAGGCAGCCGCAGGCAGGAUCGAGACAGCCCCUGCUGUCCUUCAUGUUCGUUUUGUGUUCAGGGAAACCCCAUGGCAUUCUGGUUCCUGUUUUGAUGGUUUUUAGAGCUUUUCUGAGGCACAGCUGAUACAGUCGCACUGCUUUUCAGUGUGGGCCCUGGUGACUCAGUUCCCACACUCACAGGACUGAACUUAUGGAUCACCUCCAAGAAUUUCCCCGCAUAUGUGCGCGCGCAUGUGUGUGUGUACCCAUGCGUGUUUCCGUGUAAGAACACAACAGAUUUUAAACCGUUUAAAGGGGCACAGCCCUGUUGUCACCAACAGGCCCCAUGUUGUGCUGCUGCAGAUUUCUCCACCUCCCCAACUCCCGGCAGCCCCUGUCCUCGCCCCUGCCUCUGUGUGACCGACUCUUGGAUCCCCGUACAAGUGGCAUCGUGCGGUAAUUUAAUUGUCCUCUGCAUCUGGCUCAUGUCACUGAGCGGAAGGACCUCUAGGUUUUCCACUUUGUUGCGGUUGGCAGGAUCCCUUCUUUUUUAGGGAACGAUGCCCCCUUGUAUGUAUGCACCGCGCUUUCUUUAUCCAUUCAUCUGCUGCUGGACACGUGGGUCACGUCCAUAUCUUGCUUAUUGUGAAUAUGGAAAAAUACAGUUUCAGUACACGAAGACACACUGCAAUGUACUCUGUUGACAGAAGGGAUAGCUGUGGCCGGGGAUUUAGCUCAGUGGUUUCGCCGCCUGCUGCGCAAGCACAAGGACCCAAGUCCUGCCCGAGGACCCCUCUUCCACCGCCCCAGCUUCACGGGGGUCCUGUCCCCUCCCCGACACCGGGUUCCGGUUCAUACCGGUUCAUACCGGUUCAUACCACUUCACAGCAGAUUCUGCUCUGCUGGGGACUGGACACGACCUGCUUUCCUGGCUCUCUCUGCACCACCUCGAACCUCGUUGGUGGCCAGCACCAGCAGUUGUCCUGUGACUCUGUACCACCCUCGCUCUGAGCAGGGCCCUGGGCAUGGUCCGAGGAAGCGCCCUGCGGGUCUCGGGUCUUGGGAGCAAGCGCCUUCCUCACCUGCCCAUGAGUCUGAGGCGACGCCGCAGUGCAGCAGCUGGCGGCCUUCACUGUCGCCUCCACCUGGGCACAAGGUGCCAGCGCCAGGCGAGAAGAGGCUGAGCUGUGACCGGCACCAGGUGCCCUCUGAGCUCUCGUCCUCCUGUGUCCCCGCUGCUUUCGCCCAAGGCCACCCGCCCGCCCUCUUGGGAUGAGUCCUUUCUGAGAAGACGCCUCAGUCCCUGUCCCGUGGGCCCGAGGUCCCGGCCCACAGGACGCGUCUGUAUCCAAAUCAAGGCGCACAGUGCGUCUUACCAGGAGCCUUCAGGCCACACCUGACUGACCUCUCCAGUUUCGGUUUAUUUGGUGAAGUUAUUUGGUUAAAAGAAAACAGAAAACAAGAAAGCAAAUAAAUGGGAAAAAAUGCUCA